rnacentral:rRNA from 1 species
UACGUAGGGCGCAAGCGUUGUCCGGAAUCAUUGGGCGUAAAGAGCUCGUAGGUGGUCUGUUACGUCUGCUGUGAAAUCCUAGGGCUUAACCCUGGGCCUGCAGUGGAUACGGGCAGACUAGAGGUAGGUAGGGGAGAAUGGAAUUCCCGGUGUAGCGGUGAAAUGCGCAGAUAUCGGGAGAACACCGGUGGCGAAGGCGGUUCUCUGGGACGGUACUGACGCUGAGACGCGAAAGCGUGGGGAGCGAACAGG